CGGUCCUACGGGGGGCAGCAGUGGGGAAUAUUGCACAAUGGGGGGAACCCUGAUGCAGCGACGCCGCGUGAGUGAAGAAGUAUUUCGGUAUGCAAAGCUCUAUCAGCAGGGAAGAUAAUGACGGUACCUGACUAAGAAGCCCCGGCUAACUACGUGCCAGCAGCCGCGGUAAUACGUAGGGGGCAAGCGUUAUCCGGAUUUACUGGGUGUAAAGGGAGCGUAGACGGCAUUGCAAGUCUGAUGUGAAAGAUUGGGGCUCAACCCCAGGCCUGCAUUGGAAACUGUAAAGCUGGAGUACAGGAGAG
rnacentral:rRNA from 1 species